rnacentral:rRNA from 1 species
UACAGAGGUCUCAAGCGUUGUUCGGAUUCAUUGGGCGUAAAGGGUGCGUAGGCGGCUUGGUAAGUGUGGUGUGAAAUCUCCCGGCUCAACUGGGAGGGUGCGCUACAAACUGCCGGGCUAGAGUGCGGGAGAGGAGAGUGGAAUUCCUGGUGUAGCGGUGAAAUGCGUAGAUAUCAGGAGGAACACCGGUGGUGUAAACGGCUCUCUGGACCGUAACUGACGCUGAGGCACGAAAGCGUGGGUAGCAAACAGG